UUGGGCCUACGGGACGCAGCAGUGGGGAAUAUUGCACAAUGGGGGGAACCCUGAUGCAGCGACGCCGCGUGGGUGAAGGAGCAUCUCGGUGCGUAAAGCCCUAUCGGCAGGGAAGAAACAGACGGUACCUGACUAAGAAGCCCCGGCUAACUACGUGCCAGCAGCCGCGGUAAUACGUAGGGGGCAAGCGUUAUCCGGAUUCUCUGGGUGUAAAGGGAGCGUAGACGGCGACG
rnacentral:rRNA from 1 species